UGAGGAAUAUUGGACAAUGGGCGAAAGCCUGAUCCAGCAAUGCCGCGUGGGUGAAGAAGGUCUUCGGAUUGUAAAGCCCUUUCGGCGGGGACGAUGAUGACGGUACCCGCAGAAGAAGCCCCGGCUAACUUCGUGCCAGCAGCCGCGGUAAUACGAAGGGGGCUAGCGUUGCUCGGAAUGACUGGGCGUAAAGGGCGCGUAGGCGGCGCACUUAGUCGGGCGUGAAAGUCCUGGGCUCAACCUGGGGACGGCGCUCGAUACGGGUGUGCUUGAGGGUGGAAGAGGGUUGUGGAAUUCCCAGUGUAGAGGUGAAAUUCGUAGAUAUUGGGAAGAACACCGGUGGCGAAGGCGGCAACCUGGUCCAUUACUGACGCUGAGGCGCGAAAGCGUGGGGAGCAAACA
rnacentral:rRNA from 1 species